AAACGAGUGGUCGCUCUCCUUUGGUUCUACUUCCCAAGAAGCCUAAUCCCCAGCGAACUCAUGCUGUAGGGCUCUGAGCAGGCCCAUUAAUAGGGUCAUUCCGCCCCGGCCGUCGUGUACGGCCAGGGGUUUUCCUUU
rnacentral:sRNA from 1 species